UAGGGAAUCUUCCACAAUGGACGAAAGUCUGAUGGAGCAACGCCGCGUGAGUGAAGAAGGGCUUCGGCUCGUAAAACUCUGUUGUUAAAGAAGAACAUAUCUGAGAGUAACUGUUCAGGUAUUGACAGUAUUUAACCAGAAAGCCACGGCUAACUACGUGGCAG
rnacentral:rRNA from 1 species